rnacentral:ribozyme from 1 species
CAAAUGAAACAAAAAAAAAAAAAAAAAAAAAAAAAAAAAAA